AUGAACGCUAGCUACAGGCUUAACACAUGCAAGUCGAGGGGAAACGACAUCGAAAGCUUGCUUUUGAUGGGCGUCGACCGGCGCACGGGUGAGUAACGCGUAUCCAACCUGCCCACCACUUGGGGAUAACCUUGCGAAAGUAAGACUAAUACCCAAUGACGUCUCUAGAAGACAUCUGAAAGGGAUUAAAGAUUUAUCGGUGAUGGAUGGGGAUGCGUCUGAUUAGCUUGUUGGCGGGGUAACGGCCCACCAAGGCGACGAUCAGUAGGGGUUCUGAGAGGAAGGUCCCCCACAUUGGAACUGAGACACGGUCCAAACUCCUACGGGAGGCAGCAGUGAGGAAUAUUGGUCAAUGGACGAGAGUCUGAACCAGCCAAGUAGCGUGCAGGAUGACGGCCCUAUGGGUUGUAAACUGCUUUUAUAAGGGAAUAAAGUGAGCUACGUGUAGCUUUUUGCAUGUACCUUAUGAAUAAGGACCGGCUAAUUCCGUGCCAGCAGCCGCGGUAAUACGGAAGGUCCGGGCGUUAUCCGGAUUUAUUGGGUUUAAAGGGAGCGUAGGCCGGAGAUUAAGCGUGUUGUGAAAUGUAGACGCUCAACGUCUGCACUGCAGCGCGAACUGGUUUCCUUGAGUACGCACAAAGUGGGCGGAAUUCGUGGUGUAGCGGUGAAAUGCUUAGAUAUCACGAAGAACUCCGAUUGCGAAGGCAGCUCACUGGAGCGCAACUGACGCUGAAGCUCGAAAGUGCGGGUAUCGAACAGGAUUAGAUACCCUGGUAGUCCGCACGGUAAACGAUGGAUGCCCGCUGUUGGUCUGAAUAGGUCAGCGGCCAAGCGAAAGCAUUAAGCAUCCCACCUGGGGAGUACGCCGGCAACGGUGAAACUCAAAGGAAUUGACGGGGGCCCGCACAAGCAGUGGAGUAUGUGGUUUAAUUCGAAGCAACGCGAAGAACCUUACCAGGUCUUGACAUCGAGUGACGUACCUAGAGAUAGGUAUUUUCUUCGGAACACAAAGACAGGUGGUGCAUGGUUGUCGUCAGCUCGUGCCGUGAGGUGUCGGCUUAAGUGCCAUAACGAGCGCAACCCCUCUCCUUAGUUGCCAUCAGGUCAAGCUGGGCACUCUGGGGACACUGCCACCGUAAGGUGUGAGGAAGGUGGGGAUGACGUCAAAUCAGCAUGGCCCUUACGUCCGGGGCUACACACGUGUUACAAUGGCAGGUACAGAGAGACGGUUGUACGCAAGUACGAUCAAAUCCUUAAAGCCUGUCUCAGUUCGGACUGGGGUCUGCAACCCGACCCCACGAAGCUGGAUUCGCUAGUAAUCGCGCAUCAGCCAUGGCGCGGUGAAUACGUUCCCGGGCCUUGUACACACCGCCCGUCAAGCCAUGAAAGCCGGGGGCGCCUAAAGUCCGUGACCGUAAGGAGCGGCCUAGGGCGAAACUGGUAAUUGGGGCU
rnacentral:rRNA from 1 species